UAUAUAUAUAUAUGAAAAGCAAAGAGGUAAUAAAUGGGAUAUCUGUGUAUUUUCUUGAUUUAAAAAAAAAAAAAAAGUUAAAUGUAUGAUUUGGCCGCUACACAUUAACUUGACCAACAGAUGUCGCCAGUGAGUGCUGCUGAAUGAAGCUUCGAGUAAUGAACAUUUUGGCGAACCAAUCAGCAGGAUCAUCAGGAAGCUUCAUUUGGCCAUCAUUAAUGAAAAGAUGGAACUCACACUGUAAUUUGGAGGAUCGGGACACAAAAGCAAAACAAAAAGGCAGUCACCUAGUAAUUUUCAGUUUGAAGAGGAUAAAAAAAAAAUGUUCCCGACGUGCAAUGCAAAUAUAAUCCUAAAUACUGAUUUCUUUCGUCCAAGCAAUGACACCACAAAAUAUAAUUACAUAUGGUAUCAGGGUCAAGACAUGUACAAAACACAACACUACAGAUUACGGAAAGGAUGGGACAACACUUUCCGUUUGCGAUUAGACAGAAUGAACGUCAGUAGUUUGUUUGCGUGUGGCGUCAGCAAAAUGCGACCGAAGUGUUGGACACAAUUCUCCACGUGGAAAGCGCGCGGGAAGAUGCAACCACAGGUUCUCGACGUACUUGUAGUUAACGUCGUUUAUGGUUGCUCAACUCCAUGAAACCGAGACCAUGGAAAGCUUGUGUCGAAUCGUACCAGGAGUUGUUGUUGUUUACAAGGGAGGAAAUGCAAGAAACUGACCGGAAAACGCCGUCAGCAGAAGUCGGGAACUGUUACUUAUCAAAGUAAUCAUCUGUCAUCAGAAAGGUAAACCCAUGUUGGAGGCAUCUACAAGAGAAGAGACAACCAACAAGACAGACAGAUGGUGCAGAGGCCUCACUGGAUCUCCAUGGGUCAGCCAAGAACCCAGAGGACAUCCCUGUGAUGUUACAUUAUUGACGAGCAUUUAAACUUCAAACUCAAACUUCAACCAGCAAAUCACAGAGAAAAGGAGACAGACAUAAAGAUUUACAGAAGGACUCGAACUCCAACCAGGACAUCACAGGAGUCAAACUGACGAGCAGAUAACAGAAAAGACAGACAUGAAGAUUUACAAAAGGUUCAGAACUUCAGCUGCCGUUGCCUUCUUCUCCUCCUCCUGCAGAGACAGAACACAUGUUAAUGACAAAGUGAUUAAUAAAUGAAAAAUUUUAUUCUAAA